rnacentral:rRNA from 1 species
AGUGAACGCUGGCGGUAGGCCUAACACAUGCAAGUCGAACGGCAGCACAGUAAGAGCUUGCUCUUACGGGUGGCGAGUGGCGGACGGGUGAGGAAUACAUCGGAAUCUACUUUUUCGUGGGGGAUAACGUAGGGAAACUUACGCUAAUACCGCAUACGACCUACGGGUGAAAGCAGGGGAUCUUCGGACCUUGCGCGAUUGAAUGAGCCGAUGUCGGAUUAGCUAGUUGGCGGGGUAAAGGCCCACCAAGGCGACGAUCCGUAGCUGGUCUGAGAGGAUGAUCAGCCACACUGGAACUGAGACACGGUCCAGACUCCUACGGGAGGCAGCAGUGGGGAAUAUUGGACAAAGGGCGCAAGCCUGAUCCAGCCAUACCGCGUGGGUGAAGAAGGCCUUCGGGUUGUAAAGCCCUUUUGUUGGGAAAGAAAAGCAGCAGGGUAAUACCCCGCUGUUCUGACGGUACCCAAAGAAUAAGCACCGGCUAACUUCGUG